rnacentral:lncRNA from 1 species
GUUGGACAAUUGAAAUUGUGUCAGUUAAGAGUAAUUUAGCCACAGUUAUUUUUGCUACCUUUAUAUUUUCCUAUAGAAAAAGUUAAGAAUGAGAUGUUCCUGAGUAAAAAAAAAUGAUAAUACGGUGCAACAGUAUCCUACGGAAGCGAAUUAGCGCAACACAUUUUUUUUUAAAAUUUUCGUCCUAUAUUUGCGUUACAACGCAAACCUUUUGCGUUAUAAUGCAAACCUUUGCGAUAAAACGCAGACCUUUGCGUUGUAACGCAAACCUUUGCGUUAUAACGCAAACCUUUGCGAAAUAACGCAAACCUCAAAUAUCUUGAUUUCAAUUGUUCAUUAAGUUUUGUAAAAAAUGUCCGUCUGUCAUUCAUUUCGGUUGUGAUUUACUAGUAAGAGCAUUUUUAUUUUGACUUUCUUUGCAUUUUAUUGAAGGGUGUGUCACUUCAAUAUAGUGUGAUAUGGAUUGGCCGCUGGAAUACGCAUGAAUUUAUUAUUAACGUUUUCAAUCAGCCUCAAUUUUUGUGUCUGUUCAAAGUAGCACGUUCUCAAAUCCGACUGAAAGUGUCUUUCUAAUACAACACAGGGUACAUAUAACGUGUUGUCAUUCUCAUAUGCACAUGAUAUUUGUCACUGGACGUUUAACCCUAAUUCGUAAGCAUCGUCCAAUUGGUUCUUUAUUUCUAUUACUUAAUCAUGUGUUGUUUACAAAUCAUUCUCAAGUAGUAAAUGGAAAUGAGCGAAUGCAGCUACAUUCGGUCAUCUUGAGUUUUAAUACAUUUUAUUCCGUUUAGUUCCUUUCUUCAUAAGUGUAGAGGAGAACGGCAGUUGUCCGCAUGUAAACUUCUAGCAUUUGUCACCAAUUAGAGUACAUCGAAAUCUGUUACUGUUUCAACAUUUUCUUAAACAAUUAUUAUUUUUUCUCUCUUUUUUAGCAAUGCAUCACUCUCUACUGUCCUUAUCUAUUAUUCUAUAUUCUGCUACUCCAUCCAGAUUAUCGUGUAUACCAUGAGGGUUCGGAUUGGGGGGGGGGGGGGGUUUUUUCUGUAUUCUUUAAAUUGUUAUGUCACGUUUCCUCCGUGACUUUUUUUCCUUUUACCUUUUAUUUAUCUUACUCAUUAUUCUUUCUCUAUUCUUUAUAUUUUAGCAUCCCAAUAUAUUUUACUUACUGAUGUUUAGUUACAUUACGAUGUUUAUCUCUGAUCUAUAUACUGGUUACCAAUGUAGAUGACAAAUUGGUGUCAUUCAUGACAAUUAAACAGAAUCCACAUGACAUAUGCGACCAUUCUUGGAUGAAAUUAACAUUACUUUAAUAUUACACUUUUUGAAACCGUUUUUAUCAAUUUUUCAAUUUCCAUUGUUUAAAUUGUUCAUUGUUCAUGUGUUGUUUCCGUAUAUUUUAUGUUUCAUUGCUCAUGUGUUGUUUCCGUAUAUUUUAGCCGCUCGUCUUGAGCCUACCCAUUUGAUCCGAUAACACCCCAUAUAGCAAUAAAAUUAUACUUUUAUUGCCAUUCAUAACUCUUAACAGACCAAUUAACAGACUGGGUUUUAUACAUCCGACCCAUUAACAGACCAGGUUUUAAAUAAAGAUUGAUUUAUGUCACCAAAAUACAGAUUUUCGUGAAGAUUUUUCACACAAUGAUUUCAUUAUGGUUAACAAACAUAAUGCCUGUCUUUUCUCGAUGUUCAAAAUAUUGCAUGCACGUAAAUUCAACCAACG